AGUGAACGCUGGCGGUAGGCCUAACACAUGCAAGUCGAACGGCAGCACAGUAAGAGCUUGCUCUUACGGGUGGCGAGUGGCGGACGGGUGAGGAAUACAUCGGAGUCUACUUUUUCGUGGGGGAUAACGUAGGGAAACUUACGCUAAUACCGCAUACGACCUACGGGUGAAAGCAGGGGAUCUUCGGACCUUGCGCGAUUGAAUGAGCCGAUGUCGGAUUAGCUAGUUGGCGGGGUAAAGGCCCACCAAGGCGACGAUCCGUAGCUGGUCUGAGAGGAUGAUCAGCCACACUGGAACUGGGACACGGUCCAGACUCCUACGGGAGGCAGCAGUGGGGAAUAUUGGACAAUGGGCGCAAGCCUGAUCCAGCCAUACCGCGUGGGUGAAGAAGGCCUUCGGGUUGUAAAGCCCUUUUGUUGGGAAAGAAAAGCAGCAGGUUAAUACCCCGCUGUUCUGACGGUACCCAAAGAAUAAGCACCGGCUAACUUCGUG
rnacentral:rRNA from 1 species